rnacentral:rRNA from 1 species
UACGUAGGGUGCGAGCGUUGUCCGGAAUUAUUGGGCGUAAAGAGCUCGUAGGCGGUCUGUCGCGUCGGUCGUGAAAACUUGGGGCUUAACCCUGAGCUUGCGGUCGAUACGGGCAUGACUGGAGUUCGGCAGGGGAGACUGGAAUUCCUGGUGUAGCGGUGGAAUGCGCAGAUAUCAGGAGGAACACCGGUGGCGAAGGCGGGUCUCUGGGCCGUUACUGACGCUGAGGAGCGAAAGCGUGGGGAGCGAACAGG